rnacentral:rRNA from 1 species
AUUGAACGCUGGCGGCAUGCCUUACACAUGCAAGUCGAACGGCAGCACGGGAGCAAUCCUGGUGGCGAGUGGCGAACGGGUGAGUAAUAUAUCGGAACGUGCCCAGUCGUGGGGGAUAACGCAGCGAAAGCUGUGCUAAUACCGCAUACGAUCUCUGGAUGAAAGCGGGGGACCGCAAGGCCUCGCGCGAUUGGAGCGGCCGAUAUCAGAUUAGCUAGUUGGUGGGGUAAAAGCUUACCAAGGCGACGAUCUGUAGCUGGUCUGAGAGGACGACCAGCCACACUGGAACUGAGACACGGUCCAGACUCCUACGGGAGGCAGCAGUGGGGAAUUUUGGACAAUGGGCGCAAGCCUGAUCCAGCAAUGCCGCGUGCAGGAUGAAGGCCUUCGGGUUGUAAACUGCUUUUGUACGGAACGAAACGGCCCUUUCUAAUACAAAGGGCUAAUGACGGUACCGUAAGAAUAAGCACCGGCUAACUACGUGCCAGCAGCCGCCGUAAAAC